GGCGCGGUGGCCGAGUGGCUAGGCAGAGGUCUGCAAAACCUCGUACACCGGUUCGACUCCGGUCCGCGCCUCCA
rnacentral:tRNA from 1 species